rnacentral:lncRNA from 1 species
AGAUCAGCAGCUGUGACAUACAUAUGCUGCUUUGCAAUUUCUGUAGUACAAGAUAUGAAUGUUCUAUUGCAGUAUUGACAUUUGAUCAUACUGAAGGCAAACAAUCUUGUUUUUCAGAGGUUUGUCAAUGCAUUUCUGCAGGUACAAUUUAUUUUUUGCCUUUGAAUGAAAAUACAGUCACAACUGUCAAGGCUACAUGAAGAAUUCCAUGCAGCAGUACAACUCCUGUGUCUCUCUGGGGAGACGGGCACAGAGCAAGCUGUGGAAAAUUCCAAUUUUCCUAGUUCCAGCCUCACCACUGGAGCACACUUGGACUGGGCUGAUUGCAGAGAGAGUGCGCCCCAGCGCUGUGAGAGACAUGUAUCUUACUAGAUACAAGACUGAGGAGUCCUGGGUCACCUAUGCUCUUAGCAGUUUACAGAGCAAACUGAGUAACCUGCGAAGUGAGAGGGCUUUCGAAUCCAGCU